rnacentral:tRNA from 2 species
CGGGCUGUAGCGUAGUCUGGUAGCGCGCUACACUGGGGGUGUAGAGGUCGCUGGUUCGAAUCCAGUCAGCCCGA